rnacentral:lncRNA from 1 species
CCAAAUCUACAACAUUUCUCUAUAAAAAUGAAAACUUUCCUUAAAUAGCAGGUUUUAGAAAAUUAUUUAAAAAAUACACCCUAUUGAUCAAAAAUUCUAAAAUAAUACUCAUCUUUCAACAAAAAUUCUUGAUAUCCUAAUUUGUAAAUCACAAUCCCAAAUCAACAAUAUUUCUCUAUAAAAAUGAAAACUUUCCUUAUAUUGCUGUUUUUAGAAAAUUAUUUAAAAAUAUAUUAUAUAGAUCAGAAAUUCUAAAAGAAUACACAUCUAACAACAAAAACACUAUUUAUCCCAAUUUCUAAAUUAAAAUCCCU